rnacentral:lncRNA from 1 species
CUGCAGUCCCAUUGUUUCAGGUCAGAAGUGAACAGACAGUGGGUGAGACAUGAAGCUCUAGCCAGAAAGGGCUAAUGUGAUGGCCACAGUGGCAGAACCUAGGAAGCCAAGAAGAAACCAGAGAAUGGAGACACAUGGCAGCAAUGGCAAGUCAUCAGACCCAGGAUUUCCCAAAGAACACUGGUCCAGGAAGAUGCUCUGUGAAAAAGUGUUCCCUGGUCGGAGAAAUUUGUGAAACACUUUGCAUAAUACUUAAAAGAAUGUAUGGCACAUCAAAGGUAAUAUGCAAU